rnacentral:snRNA from 1 species
AAAGUUGCCUGGUAGGGCAGGAAGGUGGUUUUCCCAGGGCAAGGCAUAUCCAUUGUACUCGGGAUGUGCUGACCCCAGCAAUUUCCCCAAAUCAGAAAUCUUGACUGCAUAAUUUGCUAUAGUGGGGGACCGUGUUCACACUCCCCCCUG